rnacentral:rRNA from 1 species
UACGGAGGGUGCAAGCGUUGCUCGGAAUUAUUGGGCGUAAAGGGCAAGUAGGUGGUCUCAUUUGUCUGAUGUGAAAGCCUUGGGCUUAACCCAAGAAGUGCGUCAGAAACGGUGAGACUCGAGUACUGGAGAGGUGAGUGGAAUUCCCGGUGUAGCGGUGAAAUGCGUAGAGAUCGGGAGGAACACCAGAGGCGAAGGCGGCUCACUGGACAGUUACUGACACUCAACUGCGAAAGCGUGGGGAGCAAACAGG